CACCAAUUGGCAGGACCAUCCAAAAUCUCCGUCAUGCUCACCAUGCGUUGACAGCAGUUCAACCGUGUGAACUUCGCAGCACAUUGAACAUAAUUACUCACACCAGCACGUCUACACCAAUCGGAACAUUGGCAGGACCAUCCAAAAUGUCCGUCAUGCUCGUCAUGCGUUGACAGCAGUUCAACCGUGUCAACUUCGCAGCACAUUCAACAUAAUUACUCACACCAGCACGUCUACACCAAUCGCCAGAUUGGCAGGACCAUCCAAAAUGUGCGUCAUGCUCACCAUCCGUUGACAGCAGUUCAACCGUCUGAACUUCGCAGCACAUUGAAUGCCUCUACUGCGACCAGCAGGUCAACGACAAUCAGCGGCUCUUUACGGAUCUCUGCCUAACAG